GGUGGCUCAGUGGUAGAGUGCUUGCCUUGCAUGCAUGAAGCCCUGGGUUCGAUUCCUCAGUACCA
rfam:Dipodomys ordii contig_57314, whole genome shotgun sequence.